rnacentral:tmRNA from 1 species
GGGGACGAAAUGGUUUCGACAGGCUAAUAUAGAUGGAUUUUAAGCAAGUGGUAGGUAUCGACUGCCUUAUCAACGAUAAAUUCAAAUUAAAUGCAGAUAGAAAUACUGCUCUAGUUGCUGCUUAAGUUCAGCAUUAGUGUCUUAUCCUAGUCCUUCUCACAGACUACUAUAAGGCAUAAUCGAUGUGAGAUACUAUUAGUAUUUGCCUAAAAUACUAUUUAGGAAAAUUGUUUAGGCUAGUUAUGGUAUGCUUGUUUGUUGGCAAGCCAUAGUGAAGUUAUGCAACAAACUAAACUUGUAGAAAGAGAUUGGUCGUUAGUUUGGACACGGGUUCGACUCCCGUCGUCUCCACCA